GUAAUCGACCUGCAGACGGUCUAGUAUACUGUCAGGUUUGAUGGUGAGCAGACGUGCCAGCCCCUCUCUUCAGUGCAUCCCUAUUUUCUGAGGAACCACUAGGGUCAAGGACGACCCACAUCUUAGUAGAAAGUCAUGGCUUCUAGGGCACGCAGAGGUCUGAGUACGGCCGAAAUCAAUGAAGUCAUUGCUCAAUAUGGAAGCGAUGAUUUUGAUGGCAGUUACGUUUCAUUUGGCUGACACGUAGCAGGGACAUCUUCCUGCCAUUGGCCACAUCAAGCUGCGCAAGCGUGUUCGCUGCCGAAGUUGCCCAUCUAGAGACGACCACAAGACGAACACAGCAUGUUUGCGAUGCAAACGGGCCUGUGUUCCUACAGCAUCAAACUGUCUUGUGUCCGAAGUGUGUGCCUCGUACGUAGGUAGCAAAUUUGGCCGUCGCACUUGUCGUGGGUGGGGCCCCAUUUACAGUACAUAUCCAUUAGGUAGCAAAUUUGGCCGUCGCACUUGUCUUGGGUGGGGGCCCAUUUACUGUAUAUAUCAAUUAGAUUUUGACCUCUAUGGGUCCGACACCUUUUCUGGCUGUGGAGACUUGUAAAUUGUAGUUUUAGGAAGGAUUCCCUCAAUUUAUUUUCUUAUACAGGUUAUUUUGUAUUUUUUAUAAAUAUUUUU